CCCUUAGAUGUUCUGGGCCGCAUGCGUGCUACACUGAGUGGAUCAGCGGGUCAGGUUGCGCGAAAGUGUUUCCUAAUCUUUAAAUCCGCUCGUGAUGGGGAUUGACGGUUGCAAUUUUCCGUCAUGAACGAGGAAUACCUUGUAAGCGCGGGUCAUCAUCCCGCGCUGAAUACGUCCCUGCCCUUUGUACACACCGCCCGUCGCUCCUACCGAUUGAGUGGCCCGGUGAGGCUUUGGGAUCUGAGCGGAAAGAGCGUUUCGCUGUUUCUGCCCGGAAAACUCAGUCGAACCUUAUCAUUUAGAGGAAGGAGAAGUCGUAACA
rnacentral:rRNA from 1 species